rnacentral:lncRNA from 10 species
UUCACCAUGUCACCCAGAGUGUUCCUGAACUCCUGGUCUCAAGCGAUCCACCUGCCUCGGCCUCCUAAAGUGCUGGGACUACAAGCAUGAGCCACUCUGUGGGACUUGAAGUUUUAUUUUAUAAUUACAUACACACACACACACACAUACACAUAAUCUAGUGCUUCCCCAUGCCAGUUACACUUCUGGGCACUUUGAAAAUGUUAACUCAAAUUUCAUUACAAUUUAAUGAGUGUUUAUUUUACAGGUGAGGAAACUGAGGCACAGAGACCUUAAGAGACUUGUCCAAGGUCAUACCAGGAAAGAUGAAAUUUAAAUUUGAAAUUACCAGAAGAACACAUUCCUGAGAAUAUCAAGAAAGGACACUCUAACCAAGAUAACUGGGUCUUACCCUUGGAAUCUACUUUGGUACCACAUUUCCUUUGAAAAGUCAGGCAAGAGACUGCUGUAUACGGAACAAACUACAAAAGAAAUCUCUAAUGGUUUCAUAAUAGCCUAAUGUGCUCAAUUUGUGCUGGAAAACUCCUUUUUGUCCUUAGCUAUAUCCUUCCAUACAGUUCACGUGCACAUGAACGAUUGCGUGAAUAUGCACCAUGUGCUUCAGCCUCUAGGUAAGAUUAAUCAUACUGCCCUUUCUCAGGAACACUUUUUCUUUCUGGAGGGAGCUCACCCAAAAGAUGUCCUAGAACACUUUAAGCCUGGGGGUAAAUGCUAUCCUAACCCUCACACCUUGAUAGAGAGCAUCUACUACAUUCAAGCUGUUUUAAAUUUUGCCUAAUUAUCUGCAUGCCAGAGGGCACAAGGAGGAACAAGUAGCCAUAGCUUAUGGAAGAAGUGCCG